rnacentral:tRNA from 1 species
CUAAGGAAGCUGUGGAACUGGUAAGACGACCUUCCGACAAGUCUUUGACUUGUCUCGAGGUAUGAACCUUCCCGUGCUUUUUAGAACAUAGAUGGCACCAGUCAGGUGACUAUCGAAACGUAAUACGCCGCGAUGACUUCGGUCACGACGGUAUGGCGAGCUUUCGCCGUCCACGUUUCUCUUUCUUCAAAAGGAUAUCGAACCAUUGGUUUGCGCUCACGCACGUACCGCCCUUCGGGCUGUGCGUCCAGCGGGGGCGCCGGACGACCGGCGACGGCCUCUGGCCUGUAUGGGAGAGCCUUGAUAGGCUUGAAGUUCGGCGAGAUGGGCCCGUAGCUCAGUUGGUUAGAGCACACGCUUGAUAAGCGUGGGGUCGGAAGUUCAAGUCUUCCCGGGCCCACCAUUUGCACCAGCAAAUGAGCUUGCUGUAGCGAAUGAGAUUUGCUGUAGCGAAUAGUGGUUUGUUUGGGUUUACCUGAUCCUGGCGGUUUGCUGUCAGGUGUUUGCGAUGGUUGGGGCUGUAGCUCAGCUGGGAGAGCACCUGCUUUGCAAGCAGGGGGUCAGCGGUUCGAUCCCGCUCAGCUCCACCAAAUCUGUCCUCACGGCGAAAGCCUGCGGACGGCGCGCCGAACGAUCGGCGACGGCCUCUGGCCUGUAUUUGGCGGAUUGUUGCUGGCGGUGAAUGAUAUCCUUUGAAGAAAUAAAAGUUUUGCAUCGGCUUAUGGCUGAUGCGUGUUCUGCAUACAUUGUGAAGAGAAGAUUGAUCUGGAGGCUUCCAGGUGUUUUGGGUUUUGCCCAAGGCGUCCGAGCCCAGUUCUGAUGAUCCCAUGGAUGGCCUAGCCGGCCGGAUAUGGGUGAAGGACUGGAGGUAGGAGGGAAGCUUGUCGCUCUGGGCCGUUGUUGUUUGCUGAUCUUUAGGGAUGAGCAUCUGACGGACGGCUUGAUUACCGUUGCCUGACCGCGCGGUAUCGGAUCCAAUCUCGAGAAGCUGGUCUUAAGACAGGCUGCAAGCGAGCUGCUCGGCGUAGCUCCAAUAAAGCAGACCUGUCGAACACGUUAAUGGCAUUGUUGGAUUGACUGGGUUGUAAAAGGUAACCCGGUCUGUUGCCGUUCCUUAUGGGGCGGGCAACGAGACGAUGAGCAUUGGCAAUGAGAACG